CUAGCCCCGAUAGUAGUGGAAAUCCUUUUUCUGGCUUCUUUAGCCAGAAAAAGAUUGAAACGGAUAGCGGGAAAUAG
rnacentral:sRNA from 1 species